rnacentral:rRNA from 1 species
CCAGCUUGCUGGAUGCUGACGAGCGGCGGACGGGUGAGUAAUGCAUAGGAAUCUGCCCGAUAGUGGGGGAUAACCUGGGGAAACCCAGGCUAAUACCGCAUACGUCCUACGGGAGAAAGGGGGCUCCGGCUCCCGCUAUGGGAUGAGCCUAUGUCGGAUUAGCUAGUUGGUGAGGUAACGGCUCACCAAGGCCACGAUCCGUAGCUGGUCUGAGAGGAUGAUCAGCCACAUCGGGACUGAGACACGGCCCGAACUCCUACGGGAGGCAGCAGUGGGGAAUAUUGGACAAUGGGGGAAACCCUGAUCCAGCCCUGCCGCGUGUGUGAAGAAGGCCCUCGGGUUG